CACCAAACUGCUGGAAGUGGAGCCGCGGCGCAAGCAAACGUUCAAGCGUUAUUUCUCCUUACUUCGACAUUACUACAGGCGGACUAGUGAGCAGCCUACUCGCGGGGUCACCUAGAGCUGCAGUUCCGACUCCCAGACUAUUUAUAACUGGGCCCGGACCCGAUGAUCCAGCCUCGUCCCCGCAUACAGGACAUAACCUCUCAACUCCAUGACGUCGGAGUAGCUGCUGUUACCACGUCUCGUCUAGAGGUGCAAGCAUGGACAGAAAAGGCGGACAACAAAGGAAGGGCAGGAUUCAGUAUGUGGCCAGUAACCCAGUAUGCCUGAUGGGACAUCUCAUGGGUCUUGAACAGCACGGGCACUACUUUGCUGGCAUUAGGAGCGGUGCUGCACCCUAGUAAUGGCAAACAGACGCUGUGGUGUGUGAGCUCAGCAGUGUCCCACACUGCACGUUACUGAAUGUUAUAUUUAGCGCCGUUACAUCAGCAACUACGAGACAACUGGCUGAACCACAGGAGUGUGUCACGAGAACUGGGCUGCUUGGGCAGUAACAGAAGGACAAUACACACAAAGGAAGUGAGCAAAGCUGGGCAUGACAUCAAACAUGGACAACAGCAGAUGCAUCAUACACAUAGCCCAUCAAUAAAUGUAUACAUGGGCUGUGUACAUAUGAGGUAAUAUCCUACUGGCCUUUUCGGCUAGCCAAUGACUCUUCUCUUUCCCUAGUGCUGAGAAAAAAAGAGAGAUCACAAAAGAAACAGGCUGGGGCUACAGCAAACAAGAAAGUGUUAGCUGACUGAUGUGGCUAGCCCACCCAUAUACAUGUACACUGGAAUCCCACAUGUGUGCUACUUCAACUCUAACACACGUGUGUGUGUGUGUGUGUGUGUGUGUGUGUGUGUGUGUGUGUGUGUAAAAGUGAUAUAAUCUUUAACAAUAGUGCCAGUGGAGUGUGUCCAUUCUUCACACUAGCAUUCAUGCUCCCAGAAAGUCUACUGUAAUCUGCAGUUUAAUGAGCAUAGAGGGGGAGAGCACGAGCCAACGAGUGCGUGUUCCUCUAAGACUGUUCUCACACGCUCACACAGCAGCUAAAUAUACCAGCAUUCCCGUGGGGACAUCAGAAUCCAGAUACCGCACAAGCAGUGCUCACUCAUCCACAGCGCAGUGCUCAAGCAUAUUUUGCACACAAGACUAACAUGUUUUUUUAUUUCAUUUUACAUAAGUAUACUGCACACGAUAUUAAACACUUAAAACAGUAACGUGUGUGUGGGGGGGGGGGUAUGGAUGUGUCAUUGGUACAGCCAGUACUGCUUCUCUUAACACUCAUCCUCCACUUUGUGGGACUCCAUUAGUCAGCAGUGGGGUACACUAUUACACUCCCACACACACACACAGCAAGUCUGUCAGAUUCAGAUCUUGCCAUGUGCUGUAAGGAGCUCAUAGGUGAGAGGAACAGUGUGAGAGUUUAAGAUGCGAGUCACAGCUUCCUAGUACAAGGCCAGCAAGUCUGAGUCAGAACUCUGGGCCCUGUUUUUCCAGAGCACGCGCACGCACACACACACAGUCAGGAGAACACAGCUGCACUUGAAGCACAGUUUAUGGGGGAAAAUAACCCUCAAGGGCAAAAGCAUCCUUUUUGUUUGUAUGCGACUCACUGAGCAAGAGACUGAAACAGACUGUGUGAUGUGUGAUUUACACACAAGUUAUAUGUGAGUAAUAAUGCACUCUGGCACAUAUUUGUGUUGACCUUCACCUGGUCUGUUCCUAACUGACCCCUCCUUCUCUCCUGCUGUUCUUCUCUGUUGUUCUCUCAGUAAACAACACAGCAGGCCGCACUUUAUCUGAGGUGUAAUAACGGCAGAAUGCGUAUCCUUAAACACACAAUCUACAGGUAUUAAAGGAAUAAUGAAAGCUACAGAAGACUCCUUUUAACCACGGAUCAGGAAAACAUCCUGCGAAGCAUCACUUCAAAUCCAACAGACUACACCUAAGCAUGCAGUAGCUUUCAUCAAAUGAACACACACACACCUCAGACCAAACAUUUUAUACAUAUUUCUGGCAAUCACUGUAACAGACAGAUGUUUCAGACAGGUGAAGUUAAUUUAUUACAUUACUGAUAGCAGUAAAGUGGAAUACUGGUUAGGGCUCUUGACCUUUGACUUAGUGGGUUGAAAGGUCAGCCACCCUCUGGAGACACAGCUGGUACAACUUUAAAGAGUCUCUACAGUACUUGCAUGGUGACCACUGCAUGUAUACAGUGAACUUUGCAUUACCACCCUAAAAAAGGAAACAGGAUUUUUUCAUUCCCAAGUCUGGAAUGUUGUGCACAAGUACUGCAAUAAAACACAAGUAAACAACCAUUUACGGCAGCUGAAAGUGGAACAUAGAGGGAGAGCAAGGCCUCUGUGCUCAGGGGUGUUCUGACAUGUCCAAAGAUGAAAAGGGGACCAUAUUUUCUCCAGUCCAAACAAUGGAACUUAGCCUCACGGACAUUGCUUACUGAGCACUCUACAGGGAGCAAACCAAACGCCAAAACACCAUAUGGACUAAAGCCUGGAACAUUAUGAUGGGAUAAACUGUGUUCUAAAAAUAUUAGAAAAUAAUUAAUUUAGACAGUUUACUGGAUUGCACAGUUCCACUGUUUAUUUGACAUAUGCAUGAAACAGGCUGAAAUGCACAUCACAGUGUAUAUUGUCUACAGUGUUUAUACACCUGAAUAUUUUAAGCAUGUUUUGUAAUGUCAGUAGUUCACAAAUUUAACCUCUAUAAUGCUCUGCUGUACUGUAGUGUUUACUAGGAACAGAUAUAUAAUUUUCAUAUUAAAUCUAAACCAAGUCAGCACUUAGAACCUUUACCACAGAGCACACAUCACCUGUGGUUACAUUUAAGUCAGUAUCUAGAGCUAUGAUCACACGGAGAGCGUGCAAAAGCCAGGUUUCAAAUGUCAAGAUGAACUCUGGAGGGAGCUACUAAGCACAAAGGGCAGAGGGUGGGGGAGCAGACAAGCUGGGUGAGUCAACCCAGGUUAGAGUCAACCCGGGUUAGAGUCAACCCGGGUUAGAGUCAACCCGGUUGAGAACAGCUGGCAGAAAAGCUCAUAGCCAUCUCUGCCAUGAAAGGUUAAAGAGCGAGAGGUCAAGAGAGAGGGGUGCAGAGCGAGAGGUCAAGAGAGACUGGAGGGGGGGCAGUAGAGAGGUGGGUAGUGAGAGAGGGGCAGGGCGACAUGAGGGUAGAAAGAGAGGGCAAGAGAGAGGUAGAGAGAGCACCAGUGUGUGAGUCUGUUCUCGUGACCAGGCAGCAUGUGAGCGUCAGCACGGUGAUGAGGCCCGGUUCUUUCUCUUAUUGUCUACUCACCAGCUGGGACAUCAUAUGCGCAUGCACACCCACACACACACACCCACACAGGCACACACGCUUUGUGUCUGUUCUGCCUGUCCUCUGCUAAUCUGACACCUCGGUUUUAAAGAAAAAAAAAAAAACCACA